GCCGCGAGCCGAGGGGGGCGGCCCGGAGCGAAGUGUCCCCGCUCGGCUCGGCCCCCCCGACCCCCCGCCCGCCGCCGCCGCCAGCGCGGGGGGCGGCCGCGCCCGGGGCCCCCGGCCCGCCCCGCUCCGGCACGCGGGUCACGCAGGUUUAAGCUGCCUUAAAGGAGAAUUAAAAAUAGUGACUCCAAAGAACAAAAUAACAGAGAAGAGAGAAAACAGCACUCAAAAAGCCCCCAGAAAGGGCUAGCAGGUUGUUUGACACACAUGGGCACAGGAGAUUAUGAACAGUGAAGACAAUGAAGAGUGGGACAUCCAUCAAAGAGUAACAACCUCUUAUAAGGUGACUCGUGUGAGCUCAUGAGGCUCCUGUAAAGGCCAGACUCAGCUAGGAUGUUACACCACCACUGCAGGAGGAACCCUGAGCUGCAGGAAGAGUUGCAGAUCCAGGCUGCCGUGGCCGCCGGCGAUGUUCACACCGUGCGCAAGAUGCUGGAGCAGGGAUAUUCCCCCAACGGCCGCGAUGCCAACGGCUGGACCCUGCUUCACUUCUCUGCAGCAAGAGGCAAGGAGAGGUGUGUCCGUGUCUUUCUGGAACAUGGAGCUGAUCCCACAGUUAAGGACUUAAUUGGAGGCUUCACUGCUCUGCACUACGCAGCCAUGCACGGCCGGGCGAGGAUCGCGCGCCUGAUGCUGGAGUCUGACUACAGAAGUGACAUUAUUAAUGCCAAGAGCAACGACGGCUGGACUCCCCUGCACGUCGCUGCUCACUACGGCAGAGACUCCUUUGUCAGGCUCCUCCUGGAGUUCAAGGCUGAGGUUGAUCCGCUCAGUGAUAAAGGUACUACACCACUCCAGCUGGCCAUUAUCCGGGAGAGGUCAAGCUGUGUGAAAAUCCUCCUGGACCACAAUGCCAACAUCGACAUUCAGAAUGGUUUCCUGUUACGAUACGCUGUGAUCAAAAGCAAUCACUCGUACUGCCGAAUGUUCCUCCAGAGAGGGGCCGAUACAAACUUGGGGCGCUUGGAAGAUGGACAGACACCCUUGCACUUGUCUGCUCUUAGAGAUGAUGUGCUUUGUGCACAAAUGUUGUAUAAUUACGGAGCAGACACUAACACAAGGAACUAUGAAGGACAGACCCCACUGGCUGUUUCAAUAAGUAUUUCUGGAAGUAGCCGACCCUGUCUGGAUUUCUUACAAGAAGUGACAAGGCAGCCCAGAAACUUGCAAGAUCUAUGCCGAAUUAAAAUCCGUCAGUGUAUAGGCCUUCAAAACCUCAAACUGCUUGAUGAACUACCCAUUGCCAAGGUCAUGAAAGACUACUUAAAACACAAAUUUGAUGAUAUCUGAUAUCCAUGAAGAGAGGAACUGUGAGCAAGUUUAGUUCUAUUCCAGAUACUGAAGAGGCUUGUUGCCUUGCACAAAGUAUAUCCUAUGCAAAUUCUGAUUUUUCUGUGAAGUCAGAAGGCAGGUAUACACUUCCUUGGGUUUUUUAUACCACACGCUAGAAGGUCUUAAUUUUUGGUUUCUUGGUCCAAGUUUACAAGGUCCAAGCUUUCUAUACAAUAUUGCAUUUUAAAAAUUGCUGUUGGUUUUCUGUUUGUUUCCACAUUAUGUGUGCAGACUUGCCGUGGAGAUGGAAGGCAGCCCCUCGAGGGAAGUGCUUGGUUUGAGUUGGCAUGCUGAGCAAUGAUGCAAGAACACAAAAGUCUGGAAAUCAAGGCACCAGUCCUGCAAAAGGAUGCAGAUAGACCUCCAGAGCCCUGUUUGUUAGGACCUCUGUCUCUGCCAGGUGUUUGUUCUUGCAGGGCAGAGGGGAGAGGGGAUAAUUGACAUGUCCUUGGGUACUGUAUGAAUAUAAUUGGAAAUUGAGGAAAAAAAUGCAGUUACCCUGUUCAAUUUGAGGGUCUAUACAUUGGCUUUUUUUUUUUGGUUUUUGGCAUUUUUCUUUUCCUAAUUAUUGUAGUUGGGAUGCCCAGAAAAUUCAGGCCCUCUUUCCCAAGCUUCCCUGUUGAACGGGCUGUUUGUAAGUCUGUUUUUACCAGUGACAGUACACUACAGAGAGGCAUAGCCUCUGUAUUUUUUACUUUAACUUAAGAGGAAUCAAAUUUGGAUUUUUUUGAAGCCGAUGUAUUCUGUUGCUCAUGCAGUGCCUCCUGUGCAAUAAUCUCUCUGAUGUAUUUUCCCUUGAUGUGUGAUUCCCCCACUCUUCCUCAUUUAGGCUCAGUGCAUUAUUUGUGAGAGCAGGAGCUGCUGCCCCACUGUAGUGUUGAUGUGACAUUACAGAAAUGAUGCAGCAGUUGCUGUUCAUUAUUACUCCCUGAAUUUCAUGAAUGUAUAACCUGCUUUAUUUCACUUUCAGUUGAGAUUUUAUCUACGGGUUCUCAGCCAAAUUGUGUCAAAAAAAAAAAAGGUAAAUUGGCCAAACCCUUUGGUUUUAAAAGCAGUGUGGGGGGUGGGGGUUGUUUUGACCGCUCUGAAAUUCAGUUUGUUUCAGGUUAGAGAGCGGGAAGUGCACAUAAGUUAUUAACUGAGAAGACAAGCCCCACUGACAUUGAGAGUUCAAAUUUUGCAAUUAAUCUGAAAGCAGAAACUGAGAGGAGUGCUGAAAUCUGGCUACUGAAUGUGUCUUUCAAACCAGGUAUUAAAAGAUCUGUUGCAGAGUUUUAUUUCUGAUCGUAGGAAAAAAUUAAUUUAUUGAUCAAAAGAUUGGGCCAAAAUGUGCAGUUGUUUCCCUCUUUAUUUUCAAGGCAUUACAGACUCAGCAUAAGGUUCUUGCCAGUGUUCUCUAGUUUUAUUUUGGCAUCUGCCUGGCUCCAGAAGAGCCCCUCUGAUAGUAGGAGUGCUUUUGUAGCAAUUGCACCAACCGAAGUGGGAGAUGAAAGGAAUGAUGAUGGCUUUUAAGUUUCACACUGUCACUUUCAAAAUACUUAGUGUUAAAAAUAGGAAAAGCAAGGUAAGGCAGGUAAACUCACAUUAUUUAACUCUGCUAGUUCCUUUUAAUAUUUGAUAACCCUGGACUGCAGCUCCCUGAGAGUGAACCUUAUCACUGCUGAUGGAUGCACCGGAACCAUGGCAAGCAAGGAGGAUUAGCUGUCCCCAUUGUGCCUGGCAUUGCAUCAGGUUUGCAGACAAUGAGGGAUUUUGGAGAUUCAUGGCUCACAGCGUUGGCAAUGGGCUGUUGAGCCUUUUUAUCUCCAGCUUGUACCGGUUCAAGUCCAGCUGCUGGAGCAGUGACCAGUUCACAUCUCAGCAGUGGGAGUGAGCAAGUCCAGCCCCACACCCUGCACUGGGUUAUAGAGCUUGUAGUGCUUCCUCCUGGUUGUAUCUGUGGAGUAGGGACAAGCUGUGGGCUGUGAGCUUGAGUGCCUGGCUCAAAUCUCUUGGCCCCUGUGGAGGGAAGAUCAGCCAUUCCAAUCUUUGAGCUCUCCAGUGCUGAGGCAGGGCAGACUGGCAGGUUUUAACACAAAUCUUCCAUUUUCUGACAUGAAAUCAGGAGCUUAAAACUGUUUUCUUUAAAAAAAAAAAACAACAAACAGAACAGACUUAGUAUUGUUCACUACACUUGUAAGUUGGUCUGAACCAAUAUCCUUCCCCACUGAAUUUUUACAGUAAUAUUUUCUAAGGUAAUCUAGAGUAUAUUUUAGUUGCAAUCUAUAUUAAGGCAAAUUAUUUGUUCUGUCUGUUGCUGUGACUGAAGAAAAUUAUGAAAGACUUUGUUGGUAACAAGAAUGCUAUUUAAUGAAGAAAUGUGUAAUUCCAUUAUUUAUUGUUUGAGGUUUGUUUUUUGGUUAUUUCUUUUAAGUAACUGACAUCUAAAAGGGAACACACAUAUGUUUUAGGCCAGUAAAAAGCCUUUCUUUUAAAUGAAUUUUCAUCCUCUCCUCUCCCCAGGGUGGAGGGAAGCCCUCACCCUUUUUUUUGCAAUGCUAAGCCAUCUCUUGUAGCUGGUUUCUCACCUUAAUUCUUGCAAAGCACCACAGCACACGUGGAUCUGAACCUACUGAUAGUCCUGUGCACUAUCUCUGGUUGUCCGUGUGCUCAAGUGCAGAUAAAGUGGGAUUAUUCAUUGAUAAUCCUACCCAAAUUUCAACAAGGAGGAAUUCGGUCUUUUUUAUUAUUAUUAUUAUUUACAAUAUUGUGCACAAAUACUUUGAAGAACAAACUGACCUUUGUUUUUCAUUUGGACUAGAAUGUGGAAGGAGAAGUGCAUAAUAGAGACUUGUGAUGUAGCCUCGUUCCGUUACCUUAAAAUUCACGGUUUAACACUUUUAAUAAACCUUAAAAAAUUGGCAAACACACCAAAGAAUCAAUAUGAGCAAAAGACUCUGAUCAUUAACAAACUGCAAACCUCAUCCUUUAAAACAAAGCAGAAAGUUUUUGUAAAUAUUUAUGUUUAUAAAUGUACAGCAGAGUAAGAGUGUUUUUUAGAUUAUUUAAUUACCAUAUUUCUAAACUAUUUACAUUAUAGACAAUACUUGUUAGUUUGAAAAGCUCGAGUGGGUUUGUUUUGUUUUGGGUUUGUUUUCUUUCUUUUUUUUUUUUUUUUAAAUUCACUAUCACUCAUGCUUGGAAUAACUCUGGCUUCCUUGGGAUAGCGUGGAAAAUUCGGUUUUCUGGCUCUGGUUGGCAAUCAUAGGAGAACACAUCUGGACAAACUCUUCAGAUAAAUACCCAGAGGCAAAAGAAAAGAUAUGGCAUCUUUACCAGGAUGGGCUGGUUUGGAGGAAAAAACCUGCCCACAAGUGCAGCUUCCAUGCAAUGCUGUGUUACCAGUACCAUCAUGUAUUUUGUUCUUCCUUUGCAAUGGCAAUAAGAAACAAAGCAGGUAUAUGCACUGCUUUAUGAAACCAUGCUACCAGGAGUUCUUCAGCCACAGCAUUCCCCAGGGAACCACAACGUGCAGCUGGAACAGCAAAAAACUGGGCUCGAAAGCUGUGCUGACUUUUAUUGGGAUGUCUCCAGCUGUCUAGUGAAGAAGUCAGAGCUCCAGCUGUUUCCUCCACAUCUGGGCUCUCUAGUGCUGCUAGCUGCUGUUUGUGAGGUCCCAGGAAUACUCAUGAAUUGGAAGUACUGGAACACCCAAAAAUUCCAUGAGGGAGGCAAAGAUUAGAGAACAGCAGAGAACUUCCAUGGUUUGGAAGAAUGUGCUACUGAGAUGUUGGAAAAGGUGAUUCCUGCAUUUUGCCCAGUGGGGAAGAUGCUAAUCAGGUGGAGGCAGGAAUGGAGGUGGAGCAGAGCAGCACUCUGAGAAGGAGUAAGGAGCUGUGGCCAAAGCCUUGAGGAAAGUCAAGACAAGGUUGGAGGAGUUUGAGUUAUCCCAGACUGGUGCCUGGACCUUCACAUGCCCAUCAGUUUAGGCAUGCUGGAGAUGGUUCACACACAGCCCUCAGGAAACUGCAGUGAUCCAGCCAUGAGAUCUGAGAACUCCAGGGCAACAGGAGCAGGAAUAAGAAAGAGCUGCCCCAGCACAAACUGCUAGAAGAGUUAGAGGUCUUCAAUGCAGCAAGUUCCCUUUUCCUCCUGUUAUUCCAGUGGUGUCCUGCUGUCCUGGCUCUGUGAGGUUCCCAGAGUUAUUCUGGACCCUGAUAAAUCAGACCCUAAAUAUGGAGAAAUGACCUGCACCUGGGUUUUCAUCUGAGGAUAAUAUAUGUGCAUUGCAAUGCUGGCUUACAAUGCCAAGGACUGCUGGAGGAACUCUUGCAAAUGACCCUUUUUUAUUUUUGAUCCACACAGGAUGUUCUUGUGGGCUUAAAGGAGAACCUCUGAGGAGGCAGAAAGCUGGUUCUUCCUGGAGGGAGAAAGCAUGAGAGUCAGACUGGACUGAAAAGAGAAAAAGGACCCUCAGCUCUCCCUAAUUUUCAAUAAUAUUGCCAGUAAAAGAGAGUUCCUCUGGUGGAAUCAAUCUCUUGCUGCCCUGGGAGUUUUGGCAUGAGGGCAACAUCCAGGCCAUGAGAUGGCCCUGCAGCAUGGACAGACCCUCCCUCACUGCAGCUCCUGCCAGCCAGAGCAAAAACAUUUGCAGGACAGUAGUCCAGAGCACACGAGGUAAGUGAUCAAUACCUUUAUUGACAUUUUUUUAAGGAAUGGCAGAACAUGGAGGAGGUGAGUAUAUAGAACCCCUAUACUCAUUAUAUGAACACAUUAUAUUCAUGUGUGGAUGCUGUGGGCAUUGUAUUGCAAGACUCCAGGAGUCCAACUCUGCAAGUCAGGUAAAUAUGAUGAGUUGGUUUUUUUCAGUACACAAGCACUUUUCAGAGCACUGGACUGGACACAAGACAGCAAAACUCAAGAGUUUUCUCCAUUUUCCCCAAGCUGUAGGUUGAAGCUGAUAUGAGAGAAAUAAUAUCCAGUCUCUAUUUCUAAAGAUACAGGACCAGUCUAUCAGGCUGUUGGCACAAAACAACAUUUGUUUUAUUGUUGGGAAACCUCAUACUCUGUUAUUUCUCAUUUAAUGCUGUUGGCAAAUACCCAUGUCACCAUCUAAUUUUGACUGUAGUUCAACUUUUUUAGUGCAAAGCUAAUCCUCAUUAUAGCUGUAAACAUGUGUUUCAUUUGGCCUUGUGUUCGUGUGCUGAAGUGACAAAGGCAGUCGAGGGUUUCCAUCAGGAAUGGAGAUGUACAGGUAAGGGUUUUGUUCAAUCUGCUUCAUCUUUCACACAGUGACAAUCAGCCCACUUGCUUAAUAGGGAAGAAUGUUUUUAUAAGCCUCUCUGUACUCUCUGUUUCCUGCUCUGCAUCUUUUUUCAGAUAAGUGGGACAGACCAGGGAGAAAAAGAACAAGUAAAUAUAAAUAAUCACAAAAGCCAUCAGGAUCUGGUGUAGCAGCUGUGUGUGCAUCUCCUACAUCUUUAUUUGCUCUUCAGACACUGAUGUGUUUUAACUCUUAUUUUUCAUAGAAUGUUUUGGGUUGAAAGGGACCUCAAAGAUCAUCUUGUCCCAACUCCCUGUCACGGGAAGGGACACUUCCACUAGACCAAGUUGCUCCAAGCCCUGUUCAACCUGGCCUUAAAAAUUUCCAGGGAUGAGGAAGCCACAGCUGCUCAGUCCAGCCUGGAGAGUGACUUUUCAAAUGUGGUUAUUUCAACAUGCCUCAGUUUUCCUGGAGAUUUACAAAUUCAGUUAUUAUUGAGACCCUAUUCAAAGUGACUCUGCCCUAAAUAAGACCUCUUGUAAGGGGGAUCACAAACCAGCAGCCCUGAAGUCAAAAUUCACUCUCAGCUCACUCCACUGCCAGGGAACAGUUGUGCCUUGAUGGUUCAGGGCUCCCCAGACUGGUGGGCAUGAUAGUCCUCUCCAGCAUCCCAGCUCUGCACCUGGUUUGAGCCACGGGACAAAGAUGAACCAGCAGCACCAGGACACAAGUGCCCAAUUGCUCUAAGCCAGGACUCAGAUUUUAGGCAUGGACCUUCUACUGAGAUGCCCUUAAAAAUCUGUCUUCAUCAUGCUGGAGAGCAACAGCAUUGCAUUUCUGAGGAUUUUUUCCUCCACUGAGCUGUUCAGCCUGAGCUAAUUCCUGUGCUGAUGCCAUGGAGGUUCCCAAGUGUGCUCUGCUGAGCCCUGGGCAAGGCUGUGUCCUGGAUGGAGGUGUCUUGCAGCAGAGAAGCUCAGAUAAAUGAGGAUCAUGGUGUCCCAUGGUUCCCUUCUGGUGGCUGCACAGCUGAGGACGUCCCUCAGGGCUGGCACAGCCACCUGAGGUUUGCUCAGGGAGGGGAAGGGGUGUCCUGAGCUCUCCCUUGGUUCAACAGAGCCGACACGAUGGGAGAAAGGCAGGUUCUGCUCAAUGAAGAUAUCUCUGUUUCACCACUGCUUCUUCCUCUGGAAGAAAAAUGAUUCCUCCAGGUCUUGACAUCUGCUGCUAUUUAAAGGAUCAUCAUCAUCACCACUCCAGCCCUCCUGGGGCCUCAAGGCUCUCAGCAAACAGCCUUCAGUUCCAGGGCAAUAAAAGAUGUCAGGGUGAUUAAAGAUGUGGCAGCUGCUGCUCUGGAUCUCCAUGCAGUCAAGUCCUUCAGAUUUUCCUCACUCCCACUGGGAGAGGACCAGUCUCCAGCACCCCCUGAGCAAGCUGAGGGUGCUGAGCACCCUGCUGGAUUCAAUCCAGGUUCAGCACAUCUCUCUGAGCUCCCUAUUCCCCUCCACCCCUCCUGUGCAUCCCUGCAGUGCUGGGUGUCCUGUCCCUGGGCUCAGCUGGGAGCGUGUGGUCCUUGCACAGUGCCUGGAGUAUUGCUUACACAUGAACUGCUUCAGAAUCCUAAAUUAUAGUUGUUGAUUUCUUGGCUUAUGGGGAGCUAUGUGAUUUACACCAGUUAAGAACAUCAGAAAGCUUCAGGAACCCUUUGAAAGCACAAACCAGGGAAAGAUGUAGUUUUGACAGAAGCUGAAAGAACCUCCCUGGGCUGGAGGGAGGAAUUGGACCUGCAUCUCUUGCAUCUCAGCUGAGGGCCUUGACAACUGCACAUGCCUUGGUAACCCAUAGCUGAAGCACAUCUCUCCAGAAGAGAAAUUCACUCCUUGCUUUGAAGACAGAGUGCUGAGGCAUCCCCUGCAUUCCUUCCUGACGUGUUCCAGAGGUUGGCUGCCCUCAUUCCAAACCAGAUGUCUCCCCUCUCAUUUGGAUGCUGCUGACUUCAGAUUCCUGCCAUUAGGCCUUCUGCUGCCUGUUCCUGAUGGAGAAAAGCUUGCAAAUUGCUCUGAUCUUACCAGACAAAGGCGUUGCUCACUCCCGGAGUCCUUGGAUAUCCUACACAAUAAGCACUGCUCUGCUCUUGGCUGGGGUGAAUGCACCUCCUCAGGUGAAACCCUGGCUUGAACUUGACCUGCCCAGGUUCCAGAAGAUGGCAAAGGAAUCCCAGGAGAGGAGGAGGUCAGCAUUUCCUAAGCCAGACCAACAGCACAUCUGCAUGGCACACUCAGCUUGGGCUCAGAUUCCUUUCCCUACCCAGAGAGUGACUUUUCACCCGAAGCUGCUGGUGCUUUAGGCCAUUUGAUCUGGCCAUCAUGGCAUUGUGGGCUUGCUCCAGGCUUCUGCUUUCCCUGGGGCUGAAAACAGACCCAUUUCAAAACAAACCUAAACCAUAGGUGGGACCCUUCUGUGCCUGCCUGCCAUCCAUCCUCCCCUCUCCCUCCCCACCUGCCUCUUUUAUUCACAUCUCUUCAAGAAGACUUUGGCGGAGAUCUUCCAUGUCCUUGGAAGCACUGUUGUCUUGCAGAGCUGGGCAUCCACACAAGGAUUUCUGCUUCUUUAACCAAACUGCUCCUGGACCAUGUGUGUGCUCAGUUCCUACACCAUGCAGGUAAGUCUACACCCUCUGCUUUGAGAGAGAAACUGUGAUUAACCACGAGCGCGUUGCAUCCUUGUUGUCUGGAGAACGGUGAUUUUCCAUUUUAAUUGCUUCCUGUAUGACAGAUUUUGUUAUGUCCCAGCCCUCUGUCAGCUCUUCUUCUCACUGCCUUUGUUUCCUGAUGUGUGUGUAAUUACAACCAUGAAAGUCCAUCAGCAAAAGCACCAUCAAUCUGAAAGAUUAACGAAUCUCACGCUUUCCCUCUCUCCUCCCCCCAAAAUUAGAAAGCCCCCUCUGUAGUUUCCAGCACACAUCUAUCAUUACACACUCCUGGGUCUCAGGUAAAUUAGCAACCUGAUUCUUUUCCCUGCUGUCACUUAGAAGAAAAGGGCUUCUUAUUUGCCAUCCAAGGAAAAGUACAGUAAACCUAGAACUAGAUAAAAGGGAAGUAAUCAAAUAUAUUUAACUGUACUCAGCCAAAUCCCAUUAUUUGUAUAGAUGUUAGCUGGUGCAUUUGAAGAAUUAGGGAAGCCUUGUCUUUUAUAGGAAAUUGUACUGCUUGAUUGAAAACUGCAAUAUCUGUGCUGCUGUUCCUCUGCUUACUUGAAAUGAGAAGUUCAGCAUUAUGUAGAGAUAUAUUUAUGCAUGAACAGGAGAUAUUUUAAAAGGGGUUUCAUGUCCUUGCUCUUCCACUAAGCAUGUACAUUUGGGGUGAGGACAGCAUCCCUCUGAGCUUCUUUCAGAAAAGAGAAAUGCCUCAUCAGUGUGGGAAUGUUCCAUGGAUUGUCCUUCUCACUUCUACCUGAAAGAUGUGGAGAAAAUAAUUUUAGAUAAGUCACCUCCUACACAUCUGAGGGAAUCAACUCCCUGGAGUGUGAGGAACAGCUUAUGGGGUGUAGGGAUAAUGUAGGGGUGGCUGAGCAGCCAUGGGGAAGGAACAUACUGGGAGUAUCCCAUGGAGAUUAUAACCAUGGUGAGGCUGUAGGAGAGCACAGAAAUCCUUCAGCUGGUAGUAGGAGCCCAGGUUUUGAAAAUACAUGGACAACACGACAGCAGUGCUUGUGCAAAGGGUGCUCCUUCCCUUGGCAGCUGGCUCCGUGGGAAAGGGGGAAUGCGCCACCUCUAGACGGCUGCAGCUGGUGGUCACCAGCCCUUCCCCUUUGGAAAUGCCUCCCGUGCCAAAACAGAGGAUGCACAGCUACUUGGAAAAUAUACCCACAAAUACCUAAACCCACCUCCUCAUCUUUAUCCACAGGAUCAAAUUAUCUUUCAGGUGUUCCUGUACAAACAGUGUGAGAUUCACUGUGAAAAUAUUCGAUUAAGCUGUUCCAGCACAAGCACUGAAAUUCAAGUCCAUGGAUUGAGGGAAAGGUUCUCCUGAACUGUUCACGCCAGCACGCAGCUUUUCUAGCUCAGUUUUGUGCUCAGAAGCACUGUUUUGUGUGCUAUCCAGCCAGGUAAGUGACAGGGGCUCUGCAGAGAGCCCAGUUCUUCAGGAUGAUGACCCAGCUCACCCUCAUGACAAUGGGCUUAGCAAGAUGAGGCACAUUUUGAUCCCAGAUUCCAGUUUUAUUUUGCUUGUAUGAAACAUCACAGCUCAAUAUUGUUUCAGAACUUUGGGGAGAAGACAGAGUCAGACAAGAGUCCCCACAAUGUUUUUUUACAUGCCUGAGUCAAAUUACCCUCCCUUCUGCGGGGCUUCUUCUGAAGUAACAGAUCGUACUGUAACCAAAUAUUGCCAUCCAGGAAAGCCAUUUUCCAUCCAGCAAGGAGGCUUCUUCCUUCUCAGCAGCCACUGAAAAGGGCCUUUGUUCUCAGGCUGAACACCUGGAGAGAGUUAUCAGCAGUGGCCUCUCGGGCCAGCCUGCGGAGCAGCUGUGACAAGACCCGGUGGCUUUGGCCUCGGGAGCGUCAGCAGCACCUGGCAGCUGCUGGCACCCAAAAAACCUCCUGUCUGGGCCAUUGCAUGGGCAACUUGGGGUGGUUCCUCUCUUCUGUGGAAUCCAGGCUCUGUAUUUUCUUUAUUUUCCCAUCCUAAAAUGGACAGCCUCACUCCACAGGGUCUCUGGAUAACCUCAAGGAUGUGACACCUCUGUAGGGAAUGGAGAACAAGCCUUGGCAUUACCUGGAGACACUGGAAAAUCUGGCGCUGAGCAACAACAUCUUGGGCAGAUGAUUUGACACUACACCCCGAUGAGUAAAAGAUGGAACUGUUGCCUGGCAUGAGGGGUAGGACAUUCAGCAGAGAGGGAGUCACCUGAUGUGACCAAGGACAAGAUUGCACGGCAGCUGAUGUGACCCUGGGCACAGCUUUCUGCUCUGUCCAUACAGUCAGCACCACUUCUGCCUGUGUCCAUGGAAAGACAGACCCACAACUGCUCAGAAACUCAAGGAAAUCCAGCUCAUUUGGCCCAUCAGGUAAUUCCCUGGAGGUAGAACUGUACUGUAUAAACCAUCACUGCCAUAAACAUUAGCUUCAAAACCAAAAGGUUUUCAUUCUUUCACUGGAUUUUAGAGGAUCUGAAGAAAAAUGUGUGAGGAAAGAUAGAGACUCAGAAAGCAGAGGUCAUGAGUGGAUCUGCCAUGGGGUGACCUGGAGAGCUGUUGACCUGAACCUGUGCUGGGUCUGGCUGAACCUGUGCUGGGUCUGUGAGGGGUUUUACCAAUGGCCUCAGUAGGAACUGUAUCUGCAACCUAGGAGUUUUGCAGGUCUAGACCUACAGACCCCUCUCAGUGUGUUGAUUUUCCACCAAAGCCAGACAGUCCAGAUCGCAAAACCUCCCCCCCAAAAAACACCAACAUAAUUCUUAUUUUCCUGAUAACCCAGAUAAAGUUUUGACUCCUACAAGGGAGUCAUACACUGGAGGAUUUCAACAAUGCCUCAUCAUAAGAUGCACAGCUCUGCAAAGUAUCCAUUCUGAAGAAGUUCUGCCAAAUACCAAGAGAAAAUUGCAUAACAUGAGAAGGAGCAAACCACAGAUGAGGCUUCAUCAUCCACAGUGGCAGCUGACCGUGGACGUCACGAGUUCUUCCAUACCCGAUGGCAUCAUUUCCAUUUUCUUUGGACUGUAGUAGUGAAAGAAUAAACAUUUCAAAAGGUUCAAAUGAGACCUUUGAGUGCCAGCGCUGAAUCCCUGUGAGGUUGGGAUAAACUGACAAAAUAACAUCCUGCAGAAGCUGUGCCUGGGACAAACCACCAUCCCUGUGUUCGUGUUCUGUGGUUUGUAGCACAGGGGCCACUUUAAACCUUGGUCUCUGUCCAGGCACCAGUACCAGCUCUCCCAUGACUUUAUGUUUGCAUCUCUUUCUUCUGCAUGAAGGGAAGAUUUCCAGGUUUGUUCCUUUUAACUUUGUUCAUGGUAGCACUCUUGACAGAAGGACUUAGUGCCUAUUUAAUGUCUUUGCAAGGAAAAGAGAGAAACUUCUCGGUUACAUAAAAGUUUGUAUCAAAAUUCAAGAAUCCGGAUUAAUUAUAGAAGACUUGCCUUGUAUCAUUCAAUUUGUUUGAAUAGCUUUAAAGAUUAAGCAGAUCCAAGGCCUAACAGAACCAGAGCCAGUAAGACAAUAGCUGAGAUUUUCCUUUGAAACAAAAUAUACAGGUGGUUUCUGUGAGUUUCUGUGUCUAUCUGCCCGGCUUUUUUAUUUUUAUGUCGUAUCCAAUAUCACAGAACCUGGCAGUAGAAAUCAUAUAGCAAUUUGUGAAAGCUUGUUGCUGUUCUAGAUAUCAUAUAGUCUGUUCCACACCAGCAAAGACAAAACCAAUGCCUUUACUCCUCGAGUUUUCAUUCAAAAGGAUAAUGAUCUCUGGUAACAAAAUAUUUGGCAGUAGCAUUAUUUAAAAUGCACAGAGGAAAUGUUUGUCCCUAAUUCAAGGCACUGUGGUCACACAGUCUCUAUUCACUUGGUAUUUACCAGUGAAUGCCAAAGGCUAAUCUGCAAAAAGCUCAGGAACAGAGUUAAGUUUAUCACACUCCAUCCUUCACCCAUCCCAUUGUAAGGGAGUUACAAAAUAGUAAUUAUUGAAUUUCUUUGUGGCCAGAGAACUUAUAAACCGUGUUAUACCCAGCAGGCUCUAAUGGCUCCUUCGGUAAGUAUCUAAUUAAGUGGUUGUGGGGUUGGGUUUUUUUUUUUCUUUCACAGCAUACUUUCGUGUUUUAAAAUCCCUUUGCAUUAAACGACUUCUCGAGUUUUCCAAAUUUCUUACACGCACAGAAGAGAGAAGUAAGAAAAAAACGGAGGGGAGAUUUCGGUCGUGGGAACAGGAGGCAGAAAUGAAGAUUCACAAAAGCUAAAGGCAAAUCCUCCCCAAAGUCUCCAUUUAAAACACUGAAAACUGCAACGGCUGCCCGAGACAUUUGGCUGUCUAGAGAGGGGGAAAUAAAGCGAGCCCGAGGGGAACGGCUGCGUUUGGGGAGGAGAGGCCGCUCCCCCAAAGCGAUUGCAACACCUCGAGGCUUUGAACGGUGCAAAUCCGGGCUUUGGGCGGUUUUACCGAUCCCGCUCGGCACCCCUCGCCCGCCGGUCCCCGCCACCGCGGGAUCCCGCUCCAGCCCGGGGCAGCCGAACGCGCCGAGCCGUGCUGGGCGAACGCACGAUCGGGGUGCGAAGAAACUGCCCGGGGUGAGGGGAGAGGAGCCGAGCAUCCGCCCCGCUGCCUCCUCGCCUUCGGCAGGGAUGCUCGGCUUCGGCGGGGGCGGCGUGAGGUGAGAAACCUGCCCGGAGAGCCCGGGGAACGCUACCUGCUCCCGGGAAAGCUGCUUGCCCCGGGAAAACUGUGUGCUCCGGGGAAAUGCCUCCCCGCGAGCCUCGGGGCCGGUCCCUGCCGCUGCCCGUCGCGGUACCCGCGGCCACAGCCUCCCCGCAGCUUCGCCGCUCCUCUGGGCACCACCGGGACACUCCCGCCCUCUCGGCAGAGAUUAAAUCGCGUAGUAAGUUGGGGUUUUUUAGUGGAGCCCCGUCGAGAUGCCGGAGAUGGGCUGGAAGAGCCGCGUCCCCGCAUCCCGGCUCGGUCCCGCAUCCCGGCUCGGCCCCGGGCGCACCUGCCCCGGCCCCGGGGCUGCGGGUCUCUCCCGGGCUGCUCCUCCCCUGCGCCCCCGAUCGCUCCGGCCCCUUCUCCCUCGUUAGGGAAGUGUUAGAAAGUUGCUGAAGUGCGAAAUGAGCCUGCGAAACCUCGUUGUCCUCAUUAAACUCUGACAAGGAGGGUGACAAGAAGCAGCGGAGGGGAAACAAUGCGGCAGUGUUGGGGAGAGCCCCGCGCCGGGGCAGCCUUUGUGCCCGCACACAAAAGCUCUUGUUUGCAUGUGUUAAAGUCCAUUAAACAGCGGCAGCCCCAGGUGCAAACGCCAGCCCGGAGAGGCCGCGCCACCUUCCGCGCCCGCUGAGCGCCCGGGCCGCUCCGCGCCCGGCCCCGGCUCCGGCGGGUGCGGGGCCGGGGCACGGCCCGGCGGGCUCCUAAUGAGGGCCGGGGCUGCCCCUUCAUUAACGGACACGGGUGGGUCCCGCUCUCUGAGCCCCCAGACUCGCCUGUCCACAGCCUCGCCGUUAGUGGCAGCGGCGGGACACAAUGUCGCCUAUUGUGCUGGCCAGCCCGCGCCCGAGGGGACACGGAGGGACCCGCGAGCAGCCCAGGGUCGUGGAUGCUGACCUGGUGCCAAAGAGCCUGGACAGGCUGGACAGGGGCCGUGCUUUGGCUUUUCCCACUGCGGCUUGUAAAGGUGCCUUUGGACACCAUAACACCAUCAGAUCUUCACAAAAAGUGCUGCCAAGGUUAGGAGCAGAGCAGUUUCCCGACUCCUGGUUCAAACAGCAGAAUUCAACCCAAAAGUUGGAAAAGAGAGGAAUUGUGCAGAGAACAGCCACCAAAAAAAAAAAAAAAAAAGCGCCUUGCAUAGCUCAAAGCCUACAAAAACAACCUCAUCGCAGUGUUAGUGUUUCAUAUGACUGGCAUGGCAAUUUAUCCAGGAAAAAGUAUUUCCAGGUUCUGUUACAGCAAGUCUACAUCACUUUAUCCCCAGUGGUCUGCCAGGGAUCUGCCCCGCAGCUAUUUUAAAUUGCGCUGCUAAUAACAAUUCAUUACAGUUGAUAGAACUGGGAGACUUGCCUUUUAUUUUGCAAUUAGACAUAAAGGCUCUGAUCUAGCAAAUGCUUUGCACUGUGAGCAUGUGAGUAGCGCUGCUGAAGUCAUCUGGGACUGUUCAUGUGCUUAACAUUAAGCCCGUGUGGGUUUGCAGGAUCAAGGUCUGAGACGGGAUCAUCUUUAAGGACGUUUGUUUACCUGCUCUGUUCUGUAUUUUCUCGAUUCACCACGGCGCCCUGCAAAACCAUUGGAGUGUCUCGAGUCAGCUGGGCACAGCUCACAAGUAGCACUCUGAAGCCAAGUGAUUCUUCCCGUAAACACAACUGGUGUGCAGGAGCUGGAUUCGGGAAGACAUGACGGCACUGGGUACGGUGCAUUGCGAGCUGCUCAGCUGUGUGAGCCUGUGUGUACUGAGGCGUUAAUGCAGAACUGUUGGGCAUUGGGCCCAGAACAGAUGUGAUGAUGAGUGAGAGCAAAGAGACAGGGAGGAAGGGGCAGAAGAAGAAAGCACAUUUUAGGCUUCUCAGUUCCUGCCUAGACGACCACUGCUUCCAAAACCUGGGAACCAUCCCCAAAUGCCUCUUAUCAAGAGAAAGUAGGAAGCAACAUGAUCUGUGGAGAAAACAAACAUAUUUGCUUUUUACAUUUGCCAAUCCUGCAAACAAUACCUGUUUGUAGGCAAAUAAUCUCCAGGUCUGCACCGCCAGAUCAAUGCAGGGAGUGGUUCCCAUCGGCUCUGCGGUGCCAGACACACUGAAUGGUUUGUAAGGAAACAGGUCCUUGAACUUCUCCACACCACAAACACUAUCUUAGUAGGUUAUCUCACACUUGCUUCUGUUCCUGCUCCCAUUCUCCUCAUCUCCCAGUGCUUGGCCUGGCAGGGAGAAGUGAAGACUAGAAGAAACAGACCUUGUUUUAAUAGAAAAGGCUUCAAAAUGUUCAGCUGUUUGUUAUUUCCUUGCCACUUACUUUUCCAAUUUAUUUUUAGAGCCAGGCUAGCUAAAGGAAAGGCCAAUCCUUGUGCACAGUCACAGUUUAAUACCUCUGAUAUGCAUGAAGAAAAUUAAUUUGACUGAGGAUUUUGCUUCAUGAAGUAAUUACAGCACAAAGCAUAAAAAGGCUGUGUUUUGUCUUUAGCCGCCAAAGUCCUGGUUUGCAUCAUGAGGUCAUGUUUAGGAUUAGAAAUGUUUUCACAAAUAGCAUCUUACAGUAUCUCACAUCACCUCUCUCCACCUUCACUAACAGGACUUUUGGAGGUGGAGAGGAACAGGGAAAGAAACUGUUCUUCAUCCCAGAUGUGUUAAAAUUGAAGCUUAAGCCCACAGGGCACAAGAAGGGCACCACAAAUACGGGAGGGAGCUGAGCUCAUGGGGCUGCUCACACUCCAAAAUACCUCCCAUGCUACAACCCCUCCCCACUACUAUCCGUGGAGGAGAGCUGCAGGCACCAGCACAGCCCAGUUAAGGUUGGAUUGAUACAAGAAAAACCCUCAUGUAGGACAUACCAUUUCCAUGGUAUCUUCAGGACAGGCUGAUCUUUUUUGUUUUGACUUUUUAAGGCACCUCUCUGGAUUCAAAUCUUUUUGAAAUUGUAUGUGAAUACUUUGAUAAACUGAGUAGAACUAUUUGGUAAAAAAGUGACAGAUUUUUUUCUUUAAUUUCAUGAUAUUUGCAAGGUGUUUCACAACUGAAGGCAGCAGUUCAAUUAUCACUAUCUUGCAGUCAGAAAAUAUGUGGAAAAACAAAGCAAAUCAAAAUGUGCUGGUAGAGCACAUCUCACUGUCUUCACAAGGCCAGUCCCUAUCAGUCAGUCACUUCUGCUUCCAGGGACCCCACAAAAUGGCAA